rnacentral:rRNA from 1 species
UACAGAGGUCUCAAGCGUUGUUCGGAUUUAUUGGGCGUAAAGAGCGUGUAGGCGGUUUGGUAGGUCCGCUGUGAAAACUCGAGGCUCAACCUCGAGACGUCGGCGGAAACCCUCUGGCUAGAGUCCGGAAGAGGAGAGUGGAAUUCCUGGUGUAGCGGUGAAAUGCGCAGAUAUCAGGAAGAACACCCGUGGCGAAGGCGGCUCUCUGGGACGGUACUGACGCUGAGACGCGAAAGCGUGGGGAGCAAACAGG